UCUAGUAUAGAAGAAGAGAGCUUAGAGACGACCAAGGGCACAGCCGUAAAUAAUCACAUUAUUGAGGGCAAAUAUUAAUUUCAAUAUCUACUACCCUCAACAUCAUCUGGAAAUCUCCACUACACUUUCAUUCCUCUUCCUCCGUUUUCCCCUUUCUUCUACUGCUACAGUGAAUAAUAAUUUUGUUUUACAGGACGCAUUGGAAAGCUUGGUGCUAAUGGAAUUUUUACCGGAUUUUGUUUUGGAUUAUAAGAAAUUGCUUUGUUGAAUCUACAAAUUUGAGGUAACAUAUCUGAUAGCCCAAAAAUCAGUAGAUUUGGGCAAAAAACAGUUGCAAUCUGUUUUUAUUCUUACAGUAGAAAAGUUGGAUUUCUCUGUUUUUUUGGAUGAAGAAUUUUUGACAGAUGUUGUCUUCAGCAAAACCCGCUACUCUUCUUGAUUUGGUCAUCGUUAUCUAUUUUUCUCCUCGCUUGUCAUCUUCGCUAUUCUUCUCAGUUGUUGGCACUUUUUCCUCUCAACUUGCGACAAAGAAGAUUUAGGAGACUGAGUAGGUGGAGUCAAAUCACAUUUUGCUAUUUACUGGUCAAGAAUUUACCGGGCCGAUUAGGUCCUAAAAUCUUUGCAAGCCAUACUGAUGAGUGGCGAGAGUAGUACUGGUGAUUGGCGAGAGUCGGAGACAAAAUUGAUCCUACAUACUACAUUUCAGUCAUGUUUUUUCUAUGAUGGUUAUAAUACAAAAUACUUUUGUACACAAUUUAGAUUUUGUAGACAACCAUUCUGAAACCAUUUCCUAAUGUCUAAUUGGAGAUAAAAAUUAAUGGAAUGUGAUAAUUAGUGAAGCAUGCAGGGCGGCCUUAUGAUUUGUGUUAUGUAAUAGUCGCAACUCACAAAUUGAAGAGUGAAAUUGCCGCCCGUCGCACGAAGCAUCCUGCUACCUAACAGGAUUUGAAGAAACCUUAUUUAGUUUUCGGAUCCUUCAUAGUAACCACCGUGAAUUUGUACAAUACACUUAAAGUAAACAUGUCAUGUUUUGUAGCUAUAUAACUAGGGACCUAUCUUUCUAAUGAUAUAUGCACCGAGUCAGGUUUAUAGCUUAGCUGUUCUCUUUGAGUAUGCAACUUUUCCUGUCAACGAUAAAGUUUAUAACUUAGCUGCUCUCUUUGAGUAUGCAACUUUUCCUGUCAACGAUAUACUAUGGCGUGAAGAAACAUAACGAACAAAAGAGAUAGGGGGAGAAGAAAGGGGUUGAAUGUACAUACUGUCAGUUUUAUCCCGUUAAGUUGCUCGACAAAAGAAUGAACUUCUGGAUGAUGUAAGAUUCUCACAAAUUGAUGUUCUGGCAACAUACUAGCUGAUGACCUCUCUGCUGGAUUUCUACGGAAACAACAAUGCAAGAAAUCUUUUCCUUCUGGUGAUAAUGUUUCAGGCAGAAAGAAAAAGGAAGCUCGGUUUGCCACCAGAAGAUCCCGCUUUCCCCAAACCUUCUAUUGCACCUGUUGUGGAGGAAAAAAAGAGCUCAUUUUUGCCUUUCAGACCAGCUACAAAGGCAGUGCGGAUGAGAGAGUGCCUGUGAACUCUUAAACGGACCCACAAGGAUGAUGAUGCCAAAGUCAAGACUGCUUUCAACACUCUGCUAACUUAUGCAAAGAAUGUCGCUACAAAUCCCAAUGAGAAGAAAUUUCGCAAGAUUAGACUUUUAGUAAUGCUGCUUUUCAGGGCCACAAGAAAUGGAUAACUGGUACACCUCAGCUAAGUUGCUCGGACUCUUCAAAAAUGUCUACGGGUGCGUGUCGGAUCCUCCAAAAAUAGUGUAUCUCUAAAGGAUCCGACACCGGUGCGGCAACAUUUUUGGAGAGUCCGAGCAACUUUGCACCUCAGUGCUCCAUGUCGCCGAUUUGUAAGUGCAAGUAAAGAUGGUGAUGCAUGGAUAUGGGAUGUUACAACAAGGAAGUGUCUCAUUUUCCUCACUGGCCAUACACUUGCAAUAACAUGUGUAAAACGGGGUGGAGAUGGAGUUAUAUACACUGGGUCACAUAAACAAUCAGUAUAAUACUUGCUUCUGGAUGCUUGUUAAGUCUGCAAAGAGCAUAACUGAAGCUCAGAGCUACCUAAAGCUUUUGAGAAGAGCACAAAAUUUCAUUGAAUAAUCAAUAAUACUUGACUCCACAAUUGUGCAACAAGGGUAGAUUUGGAAUUUCACAAUUGAGAAAGAAGCCACCUUGACCUACUCUUAUAAACAAUAAUUUGGAGGUUAGACCUGGUGAGAACAUUGCUAUAUGGGCGGAGGUGGGCUUAUGAAAGUCAAAACUCUUCUGGCAGUAAUUCUUGGAAAGGUUCCAAGUAUCGAAGGAACUGUACGUUCUAUUCGUUACUUGCUGUUUUUUUUUGCUAGGUAAAAAAUGCCAAGCAGCUUCUCAAAAUUUGUAUUGCAGAUGAUAAUGUCUAUUGGUUGCAAAAUGGACCAUGAACGUUAACUCCUUGAUGAAGGACUCUCUUACAUGACUCCUGGAGAGCGCAGGUGCAUCAGACACCAAAUAAGUAUGUCAUAACAAGUGAAAUUCUGGAUUAUGUCAAGAUAUAUAUGACUAUGAUUAAUGUAUAGGCGCCCGUAUUGGUCGUUCAGUCGUUUCUGCUGCUAUCUGCUGAAUUUUGCCAUCGCCUCCUCACUCUGCUACCUUGUUUAUGCGGUCUCUACGGAUAUAUCACCGUUCCUUUCUCCUAUAUCUCAGUUAUUUCAGUAAAAUUUUUAAACUAUUGUUUGUAAGCCUCUACUGGUGUAUUCUAUAUAGAAUUAGUAAUAUUUAACUUUUUUUUUCAAAACUUUUUCAUAUUUUCGCGGAGUUUCA